GGAUGCAAACUUGGUGUCACCCCAUGGAUUGCCAGGUUUGACUGAGACAAUCUGACGGGCUAGGCAGAUGUUCCCUUCCUCUGUCAGGACUCCAUGUGCAUCCUUCUUGAAGCUGCAUGCUAGGUGGAAGAGGACGAUUCCAGUUAGAAGGAGGGUGCCAAUCUUCAAUCAAGGGAUAUACAGGA
rnacentral:snRNA from 1 species